CUCAGGUGAACGCGCGCUGGUUCCUGUCCUAUGACAGGCGAAGAGGGAAUGCGACAGGUGUGACACCUGAAAGCAGCCGCCCCCGCGACCGUGACCGGAAAGGUCGCCCAUGUCCACUGGCCAAGGCCGGGAAGGAGGGGCAACCGUUGGGGAAACCCUGAAUCCGCAAGCCGGGAGACCUGCCAGCGCCGAGUUUUGACG
rnacentral:ncRNA from 1 species